rnacentral:sRNA from 1 species
GCUGGGCAUGGUGGCGAAUGCCUGUGAUCCCAGCAACUCAGGAGGCCGAGGCAGAAGAAUUGCAAGUUCCAGGUCAGCCUCAGCAAUUUAUCAAGGCCCUAAGCAACUUAUCAAGAGUCUGUCUCCA